CCUACGGGAGGCAGCAGUGGGGGAUAUUGCACAAUGGGGGGAACCCUGAUGCAGCGACGCCGCGUGGGUGAAGGAGUGCUUCGGCAUGUAAAGCCCUAUUGGCAGGGAAGAAGCAAGACGGUACCUGACUAAGAAGCCCCGGCUAACUACGUGCCAGCAGCCGCGGUAAUGCGUAGGGGGCGAGCGUUAUCCGGAUUCACUGGGGGUAAAGGGAGUGUAGAGGGCCAUGCAGGCCAGGGGGGAAAGCCCGGGGCCCAACCCCGGGACUGCCCUUGGAACUGUGCGGCUAGAGUGCGAGAGGAGCAUGCGGAAUGCCUGGUGUAGCGGUGAAAUGCGUAGAUAUCAGGAAGAACACCGACGGCGAAGGCAGCCUGCUGGACCGCGACUGACGUUGAGGCUCGAAAGCGUGGGGAGCGAACAGGAUUAGAUACCCGAGUAGUC
rnacentral:rRNA from 1 species